UGGCAUGUAGCUCAGAGGUAGAGCAGGCGGCUGUUAACCGCCCGGUCGGAGGUUCGAUCCCUCCCGUGCCAGCCA
rnacentral:tRNA from 1 species